rnacentral:RNase_P_RNA from 1 species
GGAGCAGGCUGGGCGGUCGCCGGUUUGAAUUUUCAAACGGGAGGAAAGUCCGGGCUCCACAGGACAGGAUGCCGGGUAACACCCGGCGGGGGCGACCUCAGGGAUCAGUGCCACAGAAAACAAACCGCCAAUCGGCUGGGACGUGGGCCAGUUGGGCCAUAUCCCGGUAUUGGUAAGGGUGAAACGGUGCGGCAAGAGCGCACCGCGCUUUCGGUAACGAAAGUGGCAGGGAAAACCCCAUCCGGAGCAAGACCAAAUAGGGGGACGUCAAAGACGGUCCGUCCAGUCCCCGGGUCGGUCGCUAGAGCUGUUCGGUAACGGGCAGCGUAGAGGAAUGACCGCCAGCCCGGUGUCGGCAGACAUCGGGCGACAAAACCCGGCUUACAGGCCGGCUCCGGCU